AUAACAAAUUCUAUUUGUAAUAAGUUAUUUUAUUUUGCAUUAAGGGCUUGUUUGGUUCAAGGAUGGAAUUGGAAUGGAUAAUGGAAUGGGAAUGAAUUGGAAUGGUAAUUGGAAUGGCUCACUCUCCCAAGACGUUUGGUUUAUUUGUGAAUUGGGAAUUGGAAUGAGUUAUUCACAUUUCAUUGUUUGGUUCGUAUAAACUAAAAAAAUUAUAGGAUGCUAUAAUACUAAUUUUACUCUCAAAUAUAAAUUUAUAUUAUUUAAAAUUUAUAAAAAAUAUAAUACUAUUCUCUAAUAAGUUUUCAAAAAAAAAUAUCAAAUUUAUUUUUAAAAACUUUUAUUGAUGUGGGUUAGGGAUAGGGUUUUGAGAGAAAAUAGGUUUUUUUUUUUUCGAUGAGAAAGGGGUGAAGAGAAGGAGGGUGAGAUGGUCACAUGGGCUUCGAGAACUUAGUGGGCUUCCGGAAUGAAAUCUCAAUCCGGGCUAGAAGACCGGAAUCAAGUUGAAGGCUAAUGGGCCAUUCCCAUUCCAGUCCGGAAUAGGAAUCCCAAACCGAUUCAUGCGAACCAAACAAAAUUAACCGGAUUUGAUCAAACCGAUUCCCAUUCCAUACCCAAAAUGGAUGAACCAAACAAGCCCUAAUUGUUUUGUUAUCUUCAAAUGGUGAUGCUCGUACGUAACAACUAAAUAAGCAGCCACAUUAUUUUAGUGCAAUUGAAACGAUGAAAAGAUUUCUCUCCAUUAGAGAAAUUAUUGGUGUUUAGCA
rnacentral:lncRNA from 1 species